rfam:Lonsdalea quercina strain ATCC 29281 genome assembly, contig: Ga0052894_scaffold00010.10
AGUUAUUUCCGUAGGGUACAGAGGUAAGAUGUUCUAUCUUUCAGACCUUUUACUUCACGUAAUCGGAUUUGGCUGAAUAUUAGCCGCCCCGCUCAGUUUUCUGAGCGGGGCGUUUUUUA